AGAGCGAACGCUGGCGGCAGGCCUAAUACAUGCAAGUCGAACGGAUCCUUCGGGAUUAGUGGCGGACGGGUGAGUAACACGUGGGAACGCGCCCUUUGGUUCAGAACAACUCAGGGAAACUUGAGCUAAUACUGGAUAAGCCCUUCGGGGGAAAGAUUUAUCGCCAUUGGAGCGGCCCGCGUCUGAUUAGCUAGUUGGUAGGGUAAAGGCCUACCAAGGCUACGAUCAGUAGCUGGUCUGAGAGGAUGAUCAGCCACACUGGGACUGAGACACGGCCCAGACUCCUACGGGAGGCAGCAGUAGGGAAUCUUGCGCAAUGGGCGAAAGCCUGACGCAGCCAUGCCGCGUGAAUGAUGAAGGUCUUAGGAUUGUAAAAUUCUUUCAGCGGGACGAUAAUGACGGUACCCGCAGAAGAAGCCCGGCUAACUUCGCGCCAGCAGCCGC
rnacentral:rRNA from 1 species